UCCAUUCCCCCUUUUGGGGUCCCACCUGCUUCUUGAAGUCCUCGACGAAGGUCUGAUAUUGGUGCGAUGUGUUAUCAUGGAAGGCCUCCUCAAAAACCCUAUUGGUGACGCGGACCUCCACGGGCACCGUCCCGUUGGUCUCUUUUUUGGGGUCAAAAAGGCCAAAAAAGGGGAAAAAAGAAGAAGCAAAAACAAAAAAACCCGGUCAGAAGAUCCUAAAAGGACCCCAAAAAGGGUUGAAAGGGAUAAAGGCCCAAAGAGGGGAUCCCAAAAGACCCCCUGGCCCCAAAAAGGCGCAGACCCCAAAAGAUCCCGGAUAAAUCCCAAAAGAGAAGAACCCAAAGGACCCCAAAAGGACCCCAAAAGGACCCCAAAAAGGGCUGAAAGGGAUAAGACCCCAAACAGGAGAUCCCAAAAGACCCCCUGACCCCAAAAGGGCGCAGACCCCAAAAGAUCCCAGAUAAAUCCCAAAAGAGAAGAACCCAAAGGACCCCAAAAAGGGCUGAAAGGGAUAAGACCCCAAAGAGGGGAUCCCAAAAGACCCCCUGGCCCCAAAAAGGCGCAGACCCCAGAAGAUCCCGGAUAAAUCCCAAAAGAGAAGAACACAAGAGGAUCCCAAAAGGACUCCAAAAGGACCCCAAAAAGGGCAGAAAGGGAUAAGACCCCAAACAGGAGAUCCCAAAAGACCCUCUGACCCCAGAAGGACGCAGACCCCAAAAGAUCCCAGAUAAAUCCCAAAAGAGAAGAUCCCCCAAAUCCAGGUCCUAUGGGGCCAUAUUGGAAACCCCAAAUCCCCUCUUAUGGGUCCUAUGUGGCCCGGUGACCCCACAUCCCCUCGUAUGGGUCCUAUAGGGCCCCGUGACCCCAAAUCCCCUCCUAUGGGUCCUAUGGGUCCCCGUGACCCCAAAUCCCCUCCUAUGGGUCCCAGUGCCCCCAUAUCCCCUAUUACGGCUCCUAUGGGUCCUAUAAGGCCCGGUGCCCCCAAAUCCCCUCCUAUGGAUCCUAUGGGUCCCGGUGCCCCCAAAUCCCCUAUUAUGGAUCCUAUGGGUCCCGGUGCCCCCAAAUCCCCUAUUACGGAUCCUAUGGGUCCCGGUGCCCCCAAAUCCCCUCCUAUGGGUCCUAUAGGACCCCGUGACCCCAUAUCCCCUCCUAUGGGUCCCGGUGCCCCCAAAUCCCCUAUUACGGCUCCUAUAGGGCCCCGUGACCCCAUAUCUCCUCCUAUGGGUCCCGGUGCCCCCAUAUCCCCUCCUAUGGGUCCUAUAAUGUGUCCCGGUGCCCUAUUGGAGAUCCCAUAUCCCCUAUUAGGGGUCCUAUAGGGCCCCGUGCCCCCAUAUCCCCUAUUAGGUGUCCUAUAGGGCCCCGUGACCCCAAAUCCCCUCCUAUGGGUCCCGGUGCCCCCAAAUCCCCUAUUACGGCUCCUAUAGGGCCCCCAUGACCCCAUAUCCCCUAUUAGGUGACCUAUAGGGCCCCCAUGACCCCAUAUCCCCUAUUAGGUGUCCUAUAGGGCGCCCAUGACCCCAUAUCCCCUAUUAGGUGUCCUAUAGGGCCCCCAUGACCCCAUAUCCCCUAUUAUGGGUCCUAUAGGGCCCGGUGCCCCCAUAUCCCCUAUUACGGGUCCUAUAUGCCCCCAUGACCCCAUAUCCCCUAUUAGGGGUCCUAUAGGGCCCCGUGCCCCCAUAUCCCCUAUUACAGGUCCUAUAGGGCCCUGUGACCCCAAAUCCCCUCCUAUGGGUCCUAUGGGUCCCGGUGCCCCCAAAUCCCCUCCUAUGGGUCCCGGUGCCCCCAAAUCCCCUCCUAUGGGUCCCGGUGCCCCCAAAUCCCCUAUUACGGCUCCUAUAGGGCCCCCAUGACCCCAUAUCCCCUAUUAGGGGUCCUAUAGGGCCCGGUGCCCCCAUAUCCCCUAUUAGGUGUCCUAUAGGGCGCCCCCUACCGGCCGUGGCGUCGAUGCGUUCCUCGGCGUAACUGCAGCGCUCCCCCGUGAAGCCGUCGGGGCACACACAGCCCCCACUCUGCCACGUCCCGCCGUUAUCGCACUGCCCUAUAGGGGAAACGUGGGGGGGGGAAUCAGUGGGGCCGGGAAAUG
ensembl:lncRNA